UCCCUGGAGGACUAGUGGCUAGGCCACAGCACUCUCACUGCUGUGACCUGCGUUCGAUUCUCUGCCAGGGAA
rnacentral:tRNA from 1 species